GAGCGGCGCAAGGGUGCGUAACACGUGGGUAAUCUGCCGUGAAGUUUGGGAUAACUUGCUGAAAGGCGAGCUAAUACCGGAUGUGACAGUUGGGAGGCAUCUCCCGAUUUUCAAAGCUGGGGACCGUAAGGCCUGGCGCUUCAUGAUGAGCCCGCGGCCUAUCAGCUAGUUGGUGAGGUAACGGCUCACCAAGGCUAAGACGGGUAGCUGGUCUGAGAGGACGACCAGCCACACUGGAACUGAGACACGGUCCAGACACCUACGGGUGGCAGCAGUCGAGAAUUUUUCUCAAUGGGCGCAAGCCUGAAGGAGCGACGCCGCGUGGGGGAUGAAUGGCUUCGGCCCGUAAACCCCUGUCAUUUGCGAACAAGUUGGUUCAGUUAAUAGCUGAACCAUUGAUAGUAGCGAAAGAGGAAGGGACGGCUAACUCUGUGCCAGCAGCCGCGGUAAUACAGAGGUCCCAAGCGUUGUUCGGAUUCACUGGGCGUAAAGGGUGCGUAGGUGGUGAGGUAAGUCGGAUGUGAAAUCUCCGAGCUCAACUCGGAAACUGCAUUGGAAACUACCUUGCUUGAGGGUUGGAGGGGGGACUGGAAUACUUGGUGUAGCAGUGAAAUGCGUAGAUAUCAAGUGGAACACCAGUGGCGAAGGCGAGUCCCUGGACAACUCC
rnacentral:rRNA from 1 species